CUAGACCUGAAAUCAGUCGAGGACACCCGCUGAAUUUAAGCAUAUUAUUAAGCGGAGGAAAAGAAAAUAACUAUGAUUCCCCUAGUAACGGCGAGUGAAGAGGGAGGUGCUCAAAGUGAAAAUCGUGGUACCUCUUAUGGUACCGCGAGUUGUAGCCUCUAGAGGCGUUACCAGUGGAGGGGCAGGUCUAAGUUUCUUGGAAACAGAACUUUC
rnacentral:rRNA from 1 species